GAUGAACGCUGGCGGCGUGCCUAAUACAUGCAAGUCGAGCGAACAGACGAGGAGCUUGCUCCUCUGACGUUAGCGGCGGACGGGUGAGUAACACGUGGAUAACCUACCUAUAAGACUGGGAUAACUUCGGGAAACCGGAGCUAAUACCGGAUAAUAUAUUGAACCGCAUGGUUCAAUAGUGAAAGACGGUUUUGCUGUCACUUAUAGAUGGAUCCGCGCCGAAUUAGCUAGUUGGUAAGGUAACGGCUUACCAAGGCAACGAUGCGUAGCCGACCUGAGAGGGUGAUCGGCCACACUGGAACUGAGAAACGGUCCAGACUCCUACGGGAGGCAGCAGUAGGGAAUCUUCCGCAAUGGGCGAAAGCUUGACGGAGCAACGCCGCGUGAGUGAUGAAGGUCUUCGGAUCGUAAAACUCUGUUAUUAGGGAAGAACAAAUGUGUAAGUAACUAUGCACGUCUUGACGGUACCUAAUCAGAAAGCCACGGCUAACUACGUG
rnacentral:rRNA from 1 species